CGGGGCGUAGCGCAGUCUGGUAGCGCACUUGACUGGGGGUCAAGGGGUCGGAGGUUCGAAUCCUCUCGCCCCGACCA
rnacentral:tRNA from 1 species